rfam:Oryza sativa (indica cultivar-group) chromosome 5, whole genome shotgun sequence.
AAUAAGUGUAAUUUUGUAUUAUUCACGUUCAACGUUCGACCGUUCGUCUUAUUUGAAAUUUUUUUAUGAUUAAUAUUUUUAUUGCUAUUAGAUGAUAAAACAUGAAUAGUAUUAUGUGUGACUAAAUAUUUUAAAUUUUCACAAAAUUUCAAAUAAGAUGGACGGUCAAACGUUAGACACGGAUAUUCACGGCUACACUUAUU